rnacentral:rRNA from 1 species
UACAGAGGUCUCGAGCGUUGUUCGGAUUCAUUGGGCGUAAAGGGUGCGUAGGUGGCACUGUAAGUCGGGUGUGAAAUCCUGGGGCUUAACCCCGGAACUGCAUUCGAUACUGCCGUGCUUGAGGACUGGAGAGGAGACUGGAAUUUACGGUGUAGCGGUGAAAUGCGUAGAUAUCGUAAGGAAGACCAGUGGCGAAGGCGGGUCUCUGGACAGUUCCUGACGCUGAGGCACGAAGGUCAGGGGAGCAAACGGG